rfam:Triticum urartu cultivar G1812 contig1028957, whole genome shotgun sequence.
CAUGCAACACAACCUGUUCUUCUUUUCAUUUUUUUUUAGCUCCCCCUCCCAGGGAAGCCGCUUCGACUAGAAUGAAUGAAAAGACGAACAAAAGGCCUCCCCUCCGGGAGGCUUUUUUUUU